rnacentral:lncRNA from 1 species
UACUGCUCUUCAAAAUCUCAUUAAAAAAUGCACAGGAUACAUAUUUUGAAGCACUGACUAAUUCAAAUACCAAAUUUCAAUAUUUAAUCGAAAAAGAAAAGAGCAAUUAAGAAACCUGUUGUAGAAAUUGGUGGAGAGGUUUAUGAAGGUCAGAAGGCCCAAUUUCUGGUAGAGAUUGGUUUGAUCAAUGGCAAAACCUUUCCUUUCAUAAUAAUACAUAUACACAACAUAAAUAUACAUGUAUUUACAGAUUCGGUGCAGAAAAAAUUACAGAUAAAAAAUGGAAGAAAUGCAAACGAAAAUAUGAGAAAUUUUUACAGGAAUUUCCACCUCUUCAAGCAAUUUCCUAGCCGAUCUGAGGAGCUGAAUCGAGGAGAAUAGGAAAUCAUGGGAGUUGAAGA